AAACUAUUUGAAUCGAAAUUGAGAAGUGUUGAAGGAAGGAAGGGGAAGAGGGAUGGAUUGCAGGAAAUGGGGGUUUGAGUGUUGGGCGAUGUUGCAGCGGCCGCCAUCGCCGGGCUUCGAGAGAACAAAAGUUCGUGUUCAUGCAGAUUGUGGUACCUAAGGAUGUGCACCAUAGACCAGCAAGAGAAUCAAGAAGAGUGCAAAGAAGGAACAAAUAGUUAAAGUUUAACCCAAUGUACCCUGGAUCCUCUAUUUGUGCUGAAGCCUGUGUACUGUAUAAGCUGAACAUGAUGAUAUGUUCUUGUGAAGCUCUUCUAGAAGCAGCAAAGGACUAUUACCAAGAAGCAUAGGACAAAUAAUACGUAAGGGGCAGUAAGAAAAUUAAGAAGAAAAUGAUGAAUUGGGCGUUUGAUUUUGAUACCUGAGACCUGAGAGUGGAACGAAGAAGGUGAUUGACAAUGAACAUUGUGGGAUGAACUCCCUCAAGAAUGUGUUCUUAGAGCUUCAAAUGGAUAUGCACACACGUAGGACUAGAGAGUUGAAAUUUAACCACAAAUUUGCAACCGAAUCAAUAUGCUGUUCAUCCCU